UACGAAGGGGGCUAGCGUUGCUCGGAAUCACUGGGCGUAAAGGGUGCGUAGGCGGGUUUUUAAGUCAGAGGUGAAAUCCUGGAGCUCAACUCCAGAACUGCCUUUGAUACUGAAAGUCUUGAGUAUGGGAGAGGUGAGUGGAACUGCGAGUGUAGAGGUGAAAUUCGUAGAUAUUCGCAAGAACACCAGUGGCGAAGGCGGCUCACUGGCCCAUAACUGGCGCUGAGGCACGAAAGCGUGGGGAGCAAACAGG
rnacentral:rRNA from 1 species